rnacentral:rRNA from 1 species
ACAGAGGUCCCAAGCGUUGUUCGGAUUCAUUGGGCGUAAAGGGCGCGUAGGUGGCGUGAUAAGGGUGUGGUGAAAGCCCGGGGCUCAACCCCGGGUCGGCCAUGCCGACUGUCAGGCUCGAGUGCUGUAGGGGCAGGCGGAAUUCCGGGUGUAGCGGUGGAAUGCGUAGAGAUCCGGAGGAAGACCGGUGGCGAAGGCGGCUUCCUGGCCCGUAACUGACGCUGAGG